AUUGAACGCUGGCGGCAUGCCUUACACAUGCAAGUCGAACGGCAGCACGGGAGCAAUCCUGGUGGCGAGUGGCGAACGGGUGAGUAAAGUAUCGGAACGUGCCCAGUCGUGGGGGAUAACGUAGCGAAAGUUACGCUAAUACCGCAUACGAUCUAUGGAUGAAAGCGGGGGAUCGCAAGACCUCGCGCGAUUGGAGCGGCCGAUAUCAGAUUAGGUAGUUGGUGGGGUAAAGGCUCACCAAGCCGACGAUCUGUAGCUGGUCUGAGAGGACGACCAGCCACACUGGUACUGAGACACGGCCCAGACUCCUACGGGAGGCAGCAGUGGGGAAGUUUGGACAAUGGGCGAAAGCCUGAUCCAGCCAUGCCGCGUGCAGGAUGAAGGCCUUCGGGUUGUAAACUGCUUUUGUACGGAACGAAAAGGUUUGGGCUAAUAAGCUGAGCUCAUGACGGUACCGUAAGAAUAAGCACCGGCUAACUACGUGCCAGCCGCCGCUGUAA
rnacentral:rRNA from 1 species